rnacentral:lncRNA from 1 species
AUGAAUACACAGAUAAGUUCCUGGAUUUGCUUCAGUAUGUGGGUCAGGCUUAUGACACUGACCAGAAGAAGGCAAGGAGAUAUACCAUGAGACUGCAUCCCAGGUAUUCCUCCUUGAUUCUUCCAGCAGAGAAAGAGAGUUUCCAUUCUAUUGUGGAUGCCGCCAAGAAGAUGGAGGCGAGUGCCAUUAUUCAGGGAAUAGUAAAACAGCAAGUGG